GGAGGGUCCAAGCGUUAUCCGGAAUCAUUGGGUUUAAAGGGUCCGUAGGCGGUUUUGUAAGUCAGUGGUGAAAGCCCAUCGCUCAACGGUGGAACGGCCAUUGAUACUGCAAGACUUGAAUUAUUAGGAAGUAACUAGAAUAUGUAGUGUAGCGGUGAAAUGCUUAGAGAUUACAUGGAAUACCAAUUGCGAAGGCAGGUUACUACUAAUGGAUUGACGCUGAUGGACGAAAGCGUGGGUAGCGAACAGGAUUAGAUACCCUGGUAGUCCACGCCGUAAACGAUGGAUACUAGCUGUUCGGAGCAAUCUGAGUGGCUAAGCGAAAGUGAUAAGUAUCCCACCUGGGGAGUACGUUCGCAAGAAUG
rnacentral:rRNA from 1 species